ACUUGGUGAUGUGGGCAUGUAUGCAGAAGGUCCCUAAAGCACUCCCAGGUCUCAAAAAAUAGUUCCCCAUCCAAUUGUGAGAAACUAGUGAUUGCCCUUCGCAACU